rnacentral:rRNA from 1 species
CCUACGGGUGGCAGCAGUGAGGAAUAUUGGUCAAUGGGCGCGAGCCUGAACCAGCCAAGUCGCGUGAAGGAUGACUGCCCUACGGGUUGUAAACUUCUUUUGUAAAGGAAUAAAGUGAGGCACGUGUGCCUGUUUGUAUGUACUUGAUGAAUAAGGAUCGGCUAACUCCGUGCCAGCAGCCGCGGUAAUACGGAGGAUCCGAGCGUUAUCCGGAUUUAUUGGGUUUAAAGGGAGCGUAGAUGGGUUGUUAAGUCAGUGGUGAAAGUUUGCGGCUCAACCGUAAAAUUGCAAUUGAUACUGGCAGUCUUGAGUACAGGAGAGGUAUGCGGAAUGCGUGGUGUAGCGGUGAAAUGCUUAGAUAUCACGAAGAACUCCGAUUGCGAAGGCAGCGUACUAACUCGCCACUGACAUUGAUGCACGAAAGUGUGGGUAUCAAACAGGAUUAGAUACCCGGGUAGUC